UAAGACCUAUAAAUGACUAAUUUAUAUCUCCUGAAUGCAACUCAAGCACUUUCAUUAAGCUAAAGCCUUU
rnacentral:tRNA from 1 species